rnacentral:rRNA from 1 species
AUAGGAAUCUACCUAGUAGUAUAGGAUAGCCACUAGAAAUGGUGGGUAGUACUGUAUAAUCCCUGCGGGGGAAAGAUUUAUCGCUACAUGAUGAGCCUAUGUUAGAUUAGCUAGUUGGUGGGGUAAUGGCCUACCAAGGCAGUGAUCUAUAGCCGGUCUGAGAGGAUGAUCAGCCACACUGGAACUGAGACACGGUCCAGACUCCUACGGGAGGCAGCAGUGGGGAAUAUUGGACAAUGGGCGCAAGCCUGAUCCAGCUAUGCCGCGUGAGUGAGGAAGGCCUUAGGGUUGUAAAACUCUUUCAGUGGGGAAGAUAAUGACGGUACCCACAGAAGAAGUCCCGGCAAACUCCGUGCCAGCAGCCGCGGUAAUACGGAGGGGGCAAGCGUUGUUCGGAAUUAUUGGGCGUAAAGGGCAUGUAGGUGGUUUGGUAAGUUAAAGGUGAAAUGCCAGGGCUUAACCCUGGAGCUGCUUUUAAUACUGCCAGACUGGAG